rnacentral:rRNA from 1 species
UACGUAGGGGGCAAGCGUUGCCCGGAAUCAUUGGGCGUAAAGAGCGUGUAGGCGGCCCGAUAAGUCCGCUGUGAAAGUCCAGGGCUCAACCCUGGGAUGCCGGUGGAUACUGUCGGGCUCGAGUCCGGAAGAGGAGUGUGGAAUUCCUGGUGUAGCGGUGAAAUGCGCAGAUAUCAGGAGGAACACCAAUGGCGAAGGCAGCACUCUGGGACGUGACUGACGCUGAGGCGCGAAAGCGUGGGGAGCAAACAGG